ACUCGUGACCUCGCCAGCUCUCAGCUCCCUCGGGCGAUUUCGUGCACGCUAAUGUGCGCCUCUGUGUUUUCCUAAAUGCUGGUUUCUUCAUCAAGCGGCGGAAUAACGCAUCAGGGCAGGUGACCCACGUCACCGGGGUGAUGCACUGGUGCUCGCCGGGGCGGGCGCUGUGCCUGCGGGAGCCGCGCGGCCGGCGCGGUGUCGGGGCGCCUCGUGGGGGCCGAGCCGCGCCCGCACGUCCCUCAGAAACGGGAUCUCACAAUGUUGGUCUGAAACUCCUGAGCUCAUGUGAUCCUCCUGCCUCAGCCUCCCGAGUUGCUGGGAUUACAGGCAUGAGCCGCCGUGCCCAGCUAGUUUAUUUUUAUAUUCUGUAUUACUGUGGACCGGAAAAUCCAAGAGUUUGCCUGUACCCUAUGGGAAAAUUGUCUCUCAGCUGCAACGUGCCCAGCGUUCUCAGCAGUCAGGGCAAAUUCAACUACAGCAGCCACCGCCCAUCUUACCGAAGCUAAACCAGACAUGGAUGUUAUUAUCUGCUGCAUCCAGCAUUUGUUUAGAGCUUUCUGCUUCACAAAGCAACUCAUUAUCUUAAUCUUCACCAUCAUCCUACAUUGCUCUUACUUCCACUUUAUGAACAGUCAGUCUCAGAAAGCUAAGGCAUCUUCCUCAAAGCAGCUGUAGGAUUCAAACUGUGUGUCCGGGGACUCCAGAUUCUUUGUGCUUUCUACACAUUUAGAUUUCAUGGUAACAUCAAAAAUCAGGAUUCCUGGAUCUGGAGCAGUUUAUUCCCUCGGCCUUCCUCCCACCCAUUGCCAUCCCAGCCCAUUUCUAUAACCAUCAAAUGGGCAAUGUUUUUUUUUUUUUUUUUUUUUUGAGACAUGGUCUCACUCUGUCACCCAGGCUGGAGGGCGGUGGCGCAAUCUCGGCUCACUGCAACCUCUGCCUCCCAGGUUCAAGCGAUUCUCCUGCCUCAGCCUCCUGAGUAGCUGGGAUUACAGGCGCCCGCCAGCAAGCCCUGCUAAUUUUUUUGUAUUUUUAGUAGAGAUGGGGUUUCGCCAUGUUGGCCAGGCUGGUCUCAAACUCCUGACCUCAAGUGAUCCACCCGCUUCGGCCUCCCAAAGUGCUGGGAUUACAGGCGUGAGCCACCGCGGCCGGCCUAAAUUGGCAAGAAUUUUCACUGUUCAAUGAAGAACAUCCUUUUGCAGCCAAUUAUUCCAACAUUGCCUUCCUGAAGGACUCUUUCAAAAUCAUCAAGAAGAUUUCACUACAAAAGCAAUAUGGGAAUAUUGUAGAAAAAAGUACGAAAUAUAGAAAAAAGAAAAUAAAAGUCAUAAUUCUGCCAUUGAACAAGAAUUUAAGAUUUUUACUUCCAUGAUUUUUACUACAGACAUAUGGACUGACUUACGUUUAUAAAAAUGACAAGGGUGCCUACCCCAUAAUACUGUUUUGGAACCUGCUUUUAAAUUUAAUAUAUUGUAAGCAUUUUCCUGAAAUAUUUUUUGCCAUCAUAUUUAAGAGAUACACAUAUUUCAUUAUAGUUUUUCUUUUUUUGAGACAGGGUCUCACUCUGUUGUCCAGGCUACAGGGUACAGUGGUGUGAUCUCAGCUCACUGCAAUCUCCGUCUCCCAGGUUCAAGCAAUUCUUGUGCCUCAGUUUCCCAAGUAGCUGGGACUACAGGAGCACGCUACCACGCCCGGCUAAUUUUUUUUGUAUUUUUUGGUAGAGACGGGGUUUCACCAUGUUGGCCAGGCUGAUCUUGAACUCCUGACCUCAAGUAAUCCGCCUGCCUUGCCCUCCCAGAGUGCUGGGAUUACAAGUGUGAGCCACCACACACAGCUUACUUAAUUAUAAUUUUUAAUGUACUC
rnacentral:lncRNA from 1 species